AAACGUUUAAAACCAGUAUUGCGGGCAGAAACUCAGGUUCCAUUUAUGGUGCUGUAUUUUUCUGUCGGCGAGUCAACAUCAGUUUUGCUUGGAGUAAAACGCUAGAGGAAGGUAGCCUUCGGGUGUUAUAGCCUCUAGUAAUGCUCUGGGCGGGACUGAGGACUGCAGCGUUCUUUGGGUUUACCACACCAACGCUUAGGAUGUUGACGAAAUGGUUUUAAGCGA
rnacentral:rRNA from 1 species